CGUGGCGCAAUGAAGGUGAA
rnacentral:piRNA from 1 species